rnacentral:lncRNA from 1 species
CCCGCGGGUCGCGCCCAGCCCAGACUCGGACUCGGACACAGACUCGGAGGACCCGAGUCUCCGGCGCAGCGCGGGCGGCUUGCUCCGCUCGCAGGUCAUCCACAGCGGUCACUUCAUGGUGUCGUCGCCGCACAGCGACUCGCUGCCCCGGCGGCGCGACCAGGAGGGGUCCGUGGGGCCCUCCGACUUCGGGCCGCGCAGUAUCGACCCCACACUCACACGCCUCUUCGAGUGCUUGAGCCUGGCCUACAGUGGCAAGCUGGUGUCUCCCAAGUGGAAGAAUUUCAAAGGCCUCAAGCUGCUCUGCAGAGACAAGAUCCGCCUGAACAACGCCAUCUGGAGGGCCUGGUAUAUCCAGUGCCGUGGUCCUGGAGGGGAACUACUGGAAGCGGCGCAUCGAGGUGGUGAUGCGGGAAUACCACAAGUGGCGCAUCUACUACAAGAAGCGGCUCCGUAAGCCCAGCAGGGAAGAGGACCUCCUGGCCCCUAAGCAGGCGGAAGGCAGGUGGCCGCCGCCGGAGCAAUGGUGCAAACAGCUCUUCUCCAGUGUGGUCCCCGUGCUGCUAGGGGACCCAGAGGAGGAGCCGGGUGGGCGGCAGCUCCUGGACCUCAAUUGCUUUUUGUCCGACAUCUCGGACACUCUCUUCACCAUGACUCAGUCCGGCCCUUCGCCCCUGCAGCUGCCGCCUGAGGAUGGUGAGGGUCUGAGAAAGGGCAGGGGAGAGGGGUGAAGGCCUGUGAGAUUCCAGGAGGCCAAGGGAGGGAUGGCUGGGGAUGGGGGUGGGGACCCUGCUCCUCCC